rnacentral:rRNA from 1 species
GAUGAACGCUGGCGGCGUGCCUAAUACAUGCCAGUCGAGCGAACAGACGAGGAUCUUGCUCCUCUGACGUUAGCGGCGGGGGGGUGAGUAACACGUGGAUAACCUACCUAUAAUACUGGGAUAACUUCGGGAAACCGGAGCUAAUACCAUAUAAUAUCUUGAUCCGCAUUGGUCAAUGGUGAAAUACGGUUUUGCUGGCUCUUAUAGAUGGUUCCACGCCGCUUUGUGUGGUUGUGGAGGUAACGGGUUUCCAAGGCAACGAGGCGUAGCCGGCCUGAUAGGGGGAUAGCCCACCGUGGAACUGAGACAGCGUCAAGACUCCUACGGGACGCCGCAGUAGGGAACCUUCCGCAGCAGGGGAAAGCAUGACGCAGCAACGCCGAGCGAGUGAUGACGGCCCUCGGAUCGUAAAAAUCUGUUAUGAGGGAAGAACAAAUGUGUCAGUAACUAAGGACGUAUUGACGGUAACUAAUAAGAAAGCCACGGCUAACUACGUG